UGGGGAAUUUUGCGCAAUGGGCGAAAGCCUGACGCAGUAACGCCGCGUGGAGGAUGAAGGCCUUCGGGUUGUAAACUCCUGUCAGGAGGAACGACGGGGAAGAGGUGAUAAGCCUUUUUCCCCAGACGGUACCUCCAAAGGAAGCCCCGGCUAAUUCCGUGCCAGCAGCCGCGGUAAUACGGAAGGGGCUAGCGUUGUUCGGAAUCAUUGGGCGUAAAGGGCGCGUAGGUGGUUUUGUGUGUCUACCGUGAAAGCACACGGCUCAACCGUGUUACGUCGGUAGAAACUGCAGGACUUGAGGCUGGGAGGGGCUGGUGGAAUUCCCCGUGUAGCGGUGAAAUGCGUAGAGAUGGGGGAGAACACUCGUGGCGAAGGCGGCCAGCUAGACCAGCACUGACACUGAGGCGCGAUAGCGUGGGGAGCAAACAG
rnacentral:rRNA from 1 species